rnacentral:rRNA from 1 species
GACGAACGCUGGCGGCAUGCCUAAUACAUGCAAGUCGAGCGGACUUGAUGAGAAGCUUGCUUCUCAGAUAGUUAGCGGCGGACGGGUGAGUAACACGUAGGCAACCUGCCCUCAAGCUUGGGACAACUACCGGAAACGGUAGCUAAUACCGAAUACUUGUUUUCUUCGCCUGAAGGAAACUGGAAAGACGGAGCAAUCUGUCACUUGGGGAUGGGCCUGCGGCGCAUUAGCUAGUUGGUGAGGUAACGGCUCACCAAGGCGACGUUGCGUAGCCGAGCUGUGAGGGUGAUCGGCCACACUGGGACUGAGACCCGGCCCAGACUCCUACGGGAGGCAGCAGUAGGGAAUCUUCCGCAAUGGGCGAAAGCCUGACGGAGCAAUGCCGCGUGAGUGAUGAAGGUUUUCGGAUCGUAAAGCUCUGUUGCCAGGGAAGAACGCUUGGGAGAGUAACUGCUCCCAAGGUGACGGUACCUGAGAAGAAAGCCCCGGCUAACUACGUGCCAGCCGCCGCAGUAA